ACCAGCAAAGUCGAGAAAGAAAUUUUUUUUCGAAACUCGAGCGUCGAGCCUCCCUCUUCUCUAUCCAACCUGAAAUUAGGGUUUUGGACCUGCGCGCAAACCACAGCAAACCACCCCCCCAAGCUCACCUCCUUCACCUCCGAUGAGAUAAGCUCCCGCAAAUCAUACGCUUCCGAGCUUCCUUUUUUGGGCGCUUGCUUGGGUUCCGGCUCAAUCGAUCUCCAUUAGGGUUUAGUCGACCAUGGCGGAGCACCUGGCAUCGAUCUUCGGCACCGAGAAGGACCGCGUGAACUGCCCCUUCUACUUCAAGAUCGGCGCCUGCCGCCACGGCGACCGCUGCUCCCGCCUCCACAACCGGCCGACCAUCUCCCCGACGCUCCUCCUCUCCAACAUGUACCAGCGGCCCGACAUGAUCACCCCCGGGGUCGACGCGCAGGGCCAGCCGAUCGACCCCAGCAAGAUCCAGGAGCACUUCGAGGACUUCUACGAGGACAUCUUCGAGGAGCUGAGCAAGUUCGGCGAGAUCGAGUCCCUCAACGUCUGCGACAACCUCGCCGACCACAUGAUCGGCAACGUCUACGUCCAGUUCAAGGAGGAGGAUCAGGCCGCCGCCGCGCUGCAGGCCUUGCAAGGGAGGUUCUAUUCCGGUCGCCCGAUUAUCGCCGAUUUCUCGCCCGUGACCGAUUUCCGCGAGGCCACGUGCCGGCAGUUCGAGGAGAAUAACUGCAACCGGGGCGGUUAUUGCAAUUUCAUGCACGUCAAGAUGAUCGGGAGGGAAUUGAGGAGGAGGCUGUUCGGGAGGUACUCGUACCGCGGGUAUCGCGGGGCGAGGAGCAGGAGCAGGAGCAUGAGCCCUACUAGGCACCGGAGGGAUCAUGAUCGGCGCGAGAGGGACCAUAAGGACCGUGAUUACCGGGGCAAUGGGAGGCGUGGAAGCGGGGAGCGGUAUGAUAAGCACGAGAGAGCUGGAGGAGGUAGGCGGCCAAGGAGGAGCCGUAGUCCAGUUAGGGAAGGGAGCGAGGAGCGUAGAGCCCGGAUUGAGCAGUGGAAUAGAGAGAGGGAAGAGAGGCAGUGAUUUGAAAGUGAAGCUGGAGUUUGCAUUUCGGUUCUUGAACUUGAUGCAAUUUUUAGGUAUCACCGGGAUCUCAAAGUCGGUGCUUCAUGGACAGAUGCAGCAGUAGGAUCAUAUUUAAAGAGGCCAAAAGCUAUGGCGCAAUUUCCCUCUACAACUUAAUGUAGUUAUAACCUCCCUCUAACUAAAGCUGCAGAGGCUGUUCACUCCAUCAUCUGGACAAAUGAGGUUAAAGGGCAGAUGCAUUUUAUUGCGCUUUAGAACAGUCGGAGUUGGUUAAUAGAGGUUGUGUGGGGAAUAUAAUAACCUCCUGCAGUGAGAGAUCUUCAGACUAAUGAUAUCUUGAAAGGACAGGCAUGGCAGAGUAGUAUUCUCAUUUUCCUUUUCUUUCCUCCCCUCUGGCCUGGACAUCACUCGAUCACCCGACCUGCAUUUCUUUCUUUGAAACAUAUAUAUGCAAAUAAGUUUUUGCACUACUUUCCUAGUUGAUCAAAAUGAAUUUUUCUUUGGUAGUGAA